rnacentral:rRNA from 1 species
CGCGGCCUAUCAGCUUGUUGGUGAGGUAACGGCUCACCAAGGCAUCGACGGGUAGCUGGUCUGAGAGGACGAUCAGCCACACUGGGACUGAGACACGGCCCAGACUCCUACGGGAGGCAGCAGUAGGGAAUCUUGCGCAAUGGGCGAAAGCCUGACGCAGCGAUGCCGCGUGGGGGAUGAAGGCUCUCGGGUCGUAAACCCCUUUCAGCAGGGACGAAAAUGACGGUACCUGCAGAAGAAGCCCCGGCCAACUACGUGCCAGCAGCCGCGGUAACACGUAGGGGGCAAGCGUUGUCCGGAUUUAUUGGGCGUAAAGAGCUCGUAGGCAGUUCAGUAAGUCAGGUGUGAAAACCCAAGGCUCAACCUAGGGAGGCCACUUGAUACUGCUGUGACUAGAGUCCGGUAGAGGAGUGUGGAAUUCCUGGUGUAGCGGUGAAAUGCGCAGAUAUCAGGAGGAACACCAACGGCGAAGGCAGCACUCUGGGCCGGUACUGACGCUGAGGAGCGAAAGCGUGGGGAGCGAACGGGAUUAGAUACCCUGGUAGUCCACGCCGUAAACGUUGGGCACUAGGUGUGGGGUCUAUUCAACGGAUUCCGUGCCGUAGCUAACGCAUUAAGUGCCCCGCCUGGGGAGUACGG